CCUGAGCCGAAGUUGGACGCUCAACCGACUGAGCCACCCAGGUUUAACCAAUGAGGAUAUAUGUGGCCACCCCUCCUGUGUUUAAACACGGCCGCCCCAGCUCCUUGGGUUCAGCAGACUUCCGGGACAAUGCCUACCCCAUCUUACUGCCCACGCCCACCGCACCAUGCCUGGACAACUGCAGCCCAUGUUCUCCUCCGGUUCUAGCAAUCCACCCCCUUCCUCUCCGAAUGGAACUCAGUGUGGUGAGGCAGAACAUCAAAGUUCAUUUUUGUUUCUCUUGGAGCUGGUGAGUUUUGUUUUCAUGUGUAAGCAAAAGGAUCUUCUCUGAGCCUCAGCUUUGAAACAGAAGUUGGCCUGUACCCGGCCUAAAAUAGCAUGCUUCCUGUCACACAAAGACCUUAAUGUUAAAAAAAAAAAAAAAAAACUCUUGGUUUUUGAAGCUCUGAUUUGUACUAACUCAUUUAACGAAUUGUUCCAUUUGUCUUUCCAGCAACACUGUGAGAUGGAUGGGGUGAGCCCUGCAUGACAGACGGGACCCAGAGAAUGGGAAAGGUCACCAGCUUACCCAGACCGAGGAGAGGCUUUUCCUGCUGGCUUCAAAGAAAGUAAAUUUCUAGGCCAUGUUAGGACUUGAGGGUGGCCUUGAGGAGAUGAAUGGACUGUCAGCCAGUGAAGAAACAGGGACCUGAGUACCGCAACCAAAACUUAAAAUCUACCGACAACCUCAAGGAGGAUGAAAGGAGAGCCCAGACUCAGAAAGAACUCGGUCCAGCCAACACGUUGAUUUUAGCCUCAUAAGACCCUGAGCGGAAAAUCCAGUUGUUCUGUGCCAAAACUUCUGACCUAUGAAAACUAUGACAUAAUAAAUAGGUGUUGGUUUAGCCUCCAA